GCCUACGGGGGGCAGCAGUAGGGAAUCUUCCACAAUGGGCGAAAGCCUGAUGGAGCAACGCCGCGUGGGUGAAGAAGGUCUUCGGAUCGUAAAACCCUGUUGUUAGAGAAGAAAGUGCGUGAGAGUAACUGUUCACGUUUCGACGGUAUCUAACCAGAAAGCCACGGCUAGCUACGUGCCAGCAGCCGCGGUAAUACGUAGGUGGCAAGCGUUAUCCGGAUUUAUUGGGCGUAAAGGGAACGCAGGCGGUCUUUUAAGGCUGAUGUGAAAGCCUUCGGCUUAACCGGAGUAGUGCAUUGGAAACU
rnacentral:rRNA from 1 species